CUAUGUGGCGACCGGCGCACGGGUGCGUAACGCGUAUGCAACCUACCUUUAACAGGGGCAUAACACUGAGAAAUUGGUACUAAUUCCCCAUAACAUUCGAGAAGGCAUCUUCUUGGGUUAAAAACUCCGGUGGUUAAAGAUGGGCAUGCGUUGUAUUAGCUAGUUGGUGAGGUAACGGCUCACCAAGGCAACGAUACAUAGGGGGACUGAGAGGUUAACCCCCCACAUUGGUACUGAGACACGGACCAA
rnacentral:rRNA from 1 species